CCCNCCCGCCACAUGGGAGUUUGUAAUGCCCAAAGCCGGUGGCCUAACCUUUUAGGAAGGAGCCGUCUAAGGCAGGACAGAUGACUGGGGUGAAGUCGUAACAAGGUAGCCGUAGGAGAACCUGCGGCUGGAUCACCUCCUUUCUAAGGAUAAUCGGAAAGCGACAGGGACUUAAGUGUCAAUUUGUUUGUUUCAAAGUUUUGUUUAGUUUUGAGUGUGAUACUUUAAUAGGUAUCAUGGUCUCAAAGUGAUCCUAUGGGGAAUUAGCUCAGCUGGGAGAGCACCUGCUUUGCAAGCAGGGGGUCAGCGGUUCGAUCCCGCUAUUCUCCAUAGCUAGUCGAAAGGCUAGCAUGUUGUACAUUGAAAACUGAAUAGUAACAAAUUCUUUUAAAAGCAAUCGUAAGAUUGCACUAAAAUGAACCGAGAAACAACACAAAAAGUUCUUUAAAAAGAACGGUUUAAUCGCAGGUCUGAAAAAUGACCAACUCAUAAACUUAAACCACAACUUCGGUUGUAUAGGUUAAGUUAAUAAGGGCGCGUGGUGAAUGCCUUGGCACUAGGAGCCGAUGAAGGACGUGACUAACUACGAUAAGCUUUGGUGAGCGGUAAGUACGCUAUGACCCAAAGAUUUCCGAAUGGGGAAACCCAACUCGCAAAGAGUUGUCUGUAUCUGAAUAUAUAGGAUAUUUGACGGAAUACGCUGUGAACUGAAACAUCUCAUUAGCAGCAGGAGCAGAAAGAAAAAUCGAUUCCCUAAGUAGCGGCGAGCGAACGGGGAAGAGCCCAAACCAACGUGCUUGCAUGUUGGGGUUGUAGGACUGAUAUAUAAGAGUUACAAAAGUGUUUUAUAGCAGAACAAGUUGGGAAACUUGGCUAUAGAGGGUGAUAGCCCCGGAAGCGAAAUGAAGCACACUCUUUUCAGGAUCCUGAGUACGGCCGGACACGUGAAAUCCGGUCGGAAUCUGCGGGGACCAUCCCGUAAGGCUAAAUACUCCCUAGUGACCGAUAGUGAACCAGUACCGUGAGGGAAAGGUGAAAAGCACCCCGGAAGGGGAGUGAAAUAGUUCCUGAAACCACGACGCCUACAAGAAGUCAGAGUCCGUUAAUGGGUGAUGGCGUGCCUUUUGUAGAAUGAACCGGCGAGUUACGGUAUCGUGCGAGGUUAAGGUGGAAAGACCGGAGCCGCAGCGAAAGCGAGUGUGAAUAGCGCGAAUAGUACGAUGCUGUAGACCCGAAACCAAGUGACCUACCCAUGGUCAGGAUGAAGGUGAGGUAAAACUUACUGGAGGUCCGAACCGGUGCAUGUUAAAAAAUGCUCGGAUGAACUGUGGGUAGCGGUGAAAUUCCAAACGAACUUGGAGAUAGCUGGUUCUCUCCGAAAUAGCUUUAGGGCUAGCCUCAUUAUAAGCAUACUGGAGGUAGAGCACUGUUAAGCCUAGGGGCCCAUCUCGGGUUACCAAAGUUUGAUAAACUCCGAAUGCCAGAUAUGUAUGAAUGGGAGUCAGACGAUGAGUGAUAAGAUCCACCGUCGAAAGGGGAACAGCCCAGAUCGCCAGUUAAGGUCCCUAAAUAUAUGUUAAGUGGAAAACGAUGUGAUAGUGCAUAGACAACUAGGAUGUUGGCUUAGAAGCAGCCACCAUUUAAAGAGUGCGUAAUAGCUCACUAGUCGAGUGCCAUUGCGCGGAAAAUGUACCGGGGCUAAACAUAUUACCGAAACUGCGGGUGUGCGUAAGCACGCGAUAGGAGAGCGUUGUAAGGGCAAUGAAGGUAGAUCGUAAGGACUGCUGGAGCGCUUACAAGUGAGAAUGCCGGUAUGAGUAGCGAAAGACAGGUGAGAAUCCUGUCCACCGAAUGACUAAGGUUUCCUGGGGAAGGCUCGUCCUCCCAGGGUUAGUCGGGACCUAAGGCGAGGCUGAGAAGCGUAGUCGAUGGAUAACAGGUUGAGAUUCCUGUACCAGUUGUAAUGCGUUUGACCGAUGGAGGGACGCAGGAGGCUAUCAGAAGCGCACUGAUGGAUAUGUACGUGCAAGCAGUAAGUUUUGAUAAGAGUGAAAUGCUUUUAUCUACAAGAACAAGCUGUGAUGCGGAUCGAAAUAAAGUAGAGAAGUCUGAGAUGUCACACUGCCGAGAAAAGCUUCUAGGAAGUAUUACACUGCCCGUACCGCAAACCGACACAGGUAGUCGAGUGGAGAACACUAAGGUGAGCGAGAGAACCCUCGUUAAGGAACUCGGCAAAAUGACCCCGUAACUUCGGGAGAAGGGGUGCUCAUGGUAAAACAUGAGCCGCAGUGAAUAGGCCCAGGCGACUGUUUAUCAAAAACACAGGUUUCUGCAAAAUCGUAAGAUGAAGUAUAGGGGCUGACGCCUGCCCGGUGCUGGAAGGUUAAAAGGAGUGUUUAGUUUCGGCGAAGGUACGAAUUGAAGCCCCAGUAAACGGCGGCCGUAACUAUAACGGUCCUAAGGUAGCGAAAUUCCUUGUCGGGUAAGUUCCGACCCGCACGAAAGGCGUAACGAUCUGGGCACUGUCUCAACGAGGGACUCGGUGAAAUUUAAAUACCCGUGAAGAUGCGGGUUACCCGCGACAGGACGGAAAGACCCCAUGGAGCUUUACUGUAGCUUGAUAUUGAAUGUUUGUGCUGCUUGUACAGAAUAGGUAGGAGACGUAGAAGAUUGGACGCUAGUCUAGUCGGAGUCGCACGGUGGGAUACUACCCUCGUUGUAUGAACAUUCUAACACUGGUCACUCAACGUGAUCGUGGACAGUGUCUGGCGGGCAGUUUGACUGGGGCGGUCGCCUCCUAAAAGGUAACGGAGGCGCUCAAAGGUUUGCUCAGAAUGGUUGGAAAUCAUUCGUAGCGUGUAAAGGCAUAAGCAAGCUUGACUGCGAGAGCUACAACUCGAGCAGGUACGAAAGUAGGACUUAGUGAUCCGGUGGUUCCGCAUGGAAGGGCCAUCGCUCAACGGAUAAAAGCUACCCUGGGGAUAACAGGCUCAUCUCCCCCAAGAGUCCACAUCGACGGGGAGGUUUGGCACCUCGAUGUCGGCUCAUCGCAUCCUGGGGCUGUAGUCGGUCCCAAGGGUUGGGCUGUUCGCCCAUUAAAGCGGUACGCGAGCUGGGUUCAGAACGUCGUGAGACAGUUCGGUCCCUAUCCGUCGCGGGCGCAGGAAAUUUGAGAGGAGUUGCCCUUAGUACGAGAGGACCGGGGUGGACAAACCGCUGGUGUACCAGUUGUUCCGCCAGGAGCAUUGCUGGGUAGCUAUGUAUGGAUGAGAUAAACGCUGAAAGCAUCUAAGUGUGAAACUCGCCUCGAGAUGAGAUUUCCCAUCUAUUUAAUAGAGUAAGACCCCUUAGAGAUGAUGAGGUAGAUAGGCUAGAAGUG
rnacentral:rRNA from 1 species